rnacentral:rRNA from 2 species
GGACCUCCAAUCAGAUAAGACUACCCGC